AAGCUCGUAGUUGAAUUUCGGGAUUAGUACGUCGGUCGUGCCUUAGGUACGUACUGGUGUUACUGGUUCCUACCUUCUGACGAACCAUUAUGUCAUUAAUUUGGUGUGGUGGGGAAUCAGGACUGUUUACUUUAGAAAAAAUUAGAGUGUUUAAAGCAGGCUCGCGCUUGAAUACAUUAGCAUGGAAUAAUGAAAUAGGACGUUGAUCCUAUUUUGUUGGUUUCUAGGAUUGACGUAAUGAUUAAUAGGGAUAGUUGGG
rnacentral:rRNA from 1 species